CCCAUCUCGUGGCCACGGGCAGCACACACCGCCGCUUCCUCCUCCUCACCUUCCCCUCCCUCCACAGCCACUCCUCCCGGCAAGAUGCCCACCAUCAUCUCCUCCUCCUAGACCUCAGCCGCGCCAGCCAUGGCCGCCACCGCCACCGCCACCGCCGCCGCUUCCCUUUCCCUCCACCUCCGCCUCCGCCCUCCUCCCCAUGCCCACCGCAGCCCCCUUCGCCAUGCCCCGUUCCUCCUAUCCCCUUCUCCGUCCACCCCUUGGCCUCCUCACCACCUUCACGUCGCUAACGGCCGGCUCCCUCCCCCUUGCCGCCCCUCUGUGAAGGCGCGGGCAGGUGCCAUCGAGGCUCCGAGCCUCGCGCGCCUUGGGGGCGCCGUAGAGACCGACCGCCUCCCCGCCGACGUGCGCGACCGCGCCAUGGACGCCGUCGACUACUUGGGCGGCCGCGUCACAAUCGGCGACGUCGCCUCCCGCGCCGGCCUGCAGAUUGACCAGGCAGAGCGCGCGCUCCAGGCUCUCGCGGCAGACACCGGGGGCUUCCUGGAGGUUUCGGGGGAAGGGGAGGUGCUGUACGUCUUCCCCGAAGACUACAGGGCGAAGCUCGCUGGCAAGUCAUUCAGAAUGCGGGUCGAGCCACUGGUCGAUAAAGCCAAGGAAGCGGGUGCGUAUCUGGCGCGGGUGUCUUUUGGGACAGCACUAGUUGCUUCCAUUGUGCUUGUAUAUGCUACCAUCAUUGCCAUUCUCUCAAGCUCGAGUGAUGAAGAUAAUCGUGGAAGGCGGCGCAGAUCCUAUGGCUCUACGAUGUUCCUCCCAACAGAUUUAUUUUGGUACUUGGAUGCAGGUUCCUCCAGGAGGAGGCGGGUAGAAAAAGAUAAGGGGAUGAGCUUUAUUGAAUCUGUCUUCUCGUUUGUAUUUGGGAAUGGUGAUCCUAAUGACGGGCUUGAAGAGAGAAGGUGGAAGAUGAUUGGGCAGUAUAUUUCAUCGAAUGGUGGAGUUGUUACGGCAGAAGAACUGGCACCGUAUCUUGAUGUACCGGCACCUGCAGAGCAAACCAACUCCAAGGAUGAUGAAUCAUUUAUUCUUCCAGUUCUUUUACGCUUCCAGGGACAUCCUUUAGUUGACGAUCAGGGAAACAUUCUUUAUCGAUUCCCAUCGCUGCAACGCACUGCUUCCUCGAAAGGAGGUGGGAGUAGGGAAUAUGUUGGUACAAGAUGGUCUACAAUGUCGAGUGGCGUUGAAAAGUUUAUGGAAGAGAAACCAUGGGAAUUCAGUGAAGCAAAUGCAUUAGAGAGGGCAAUGGUUGCUGGUUUGGGAGGACUCAAUCUUUUUGGCGUCAUAAUUCUGGGAAACUUACUGAAGCAAAUGACAAUGACACCUGGUGGGCUUAUCUCAUUUGCUGCGCAGUUAUUUCCCUUGCUUCAGAUAUAUGCUGGCUCCUUUUUUGCAAUACCAUUAUUUAGAUGGUUGCUGCUACGCAAGACCAACAAUGACAUUGCAAGGAGGAACAAGGCUAGAGAAGAGAGAGCCCAGGAACUUUUGUCGCCAGAACCUUCUCUCAGAAGAAAGUUGCUCAGUGCACGCGACAUGGCUCAGUGGAAGGUGAUUACACCAGGGGAGAUUGUCUACACAACCGAAAAGGAUCUAUUGGAUCAGAAAUAUGAAGUUAGGGAGUGGGAAAGGCGAUUUAAGAAACUUGAGUCAGACUGAUGGUAAUGAUGGAUAAUACUUGAGAUUCAUUUUUUUUGAAAAAUAAUACCUGAGAUUCAUAUUAUAUAUGGAUGGUCCUUUGGUCGUCUGGCAUCAUUCUUGGAUGGAGGAUAGAUCUGACCGAACCAUUCAACCAAGUGGGCAGAAUGCCUAGAUGAGAGACUGGAUGGUUCUUAGGCCCACUGAUGUGCUGUGAAGUUUUUGCCGAAGCAGUCUUUAAUACUACCAUUCAUCAAAGGUAUUGCUGCUGCUGUACAUAUCUGUAACAUUUAGUCUACACACAUGUAUAUAUAGUUGUAGAUCAAUGCACAAAAGCAGGGAAUUGUAAUUCAGAGCUAGGGAAUUGAAAUUCAGAACUGAACACCGGAACCGUAGGACAUGUAAAGGAUAAUGCCCGUUAAACUGUUGUCUCCGAUGGGUUAUUCUGGAUCUAGAUUGAUGACACUGGUGUUAAUGUCUAAUUCCAUGAUAUAUGCAUGAGAGAAUUCCACUCCU
rnacentral:rRNA from 1 species